CCCUACGGGGUGCAGCAGGCCUAACAGUGAGAAGACAAUAUCGCAGACUCGUUUGAAGGUGUUGAAUAUCACGGGACGACGUUGCACAAGCUCCCUAUCCGCCUGUUGGGAACUGGUUUCGUAAUAGUCUUCGCUGGUCACACUACCCACAAUAAACCCCUCAAAAUUGCUGCCUGAAUGAAUCAAAGAAAAGACAACUCAUUAUUAUAGUACAACAUUUUCGGAUUUUUAUUUUGUUUCAGCAAACAAUCCUGAAGGGAGAACGAGCUCCAAACCCGAGCGGUUCCAACUGUUAUACAGUGAGAAAAAUCGUUUUUCGGCAUCAAACGCUGAGGUUUCGAACCUGGGAUCAACGAAGCUGAGAGC
rnacentral:rRNA from 1 species